rnacentral:rRNA from 1 species
UACGGGGGGAGCAAGCGUUGUUCGGAUUUACUGGGCGUAAAGGGCGCGUAGGCGGCCAGCACAAGUCAGUUGUGAAAUCUCCGAGCUUAACUCGGAAAGGUCAACUGAUACUGUGCGGCUAGAGUGCAGAAGGGGCAACUGGAAUUCUUGGUGUAGCGGUGAAAUGCGCAGAUAUCGGGAGGAACACCUAUGGCGAAGGCGGGUCUCUGGGCAGUAACUGACGCUGAGAAGCGAAAGCGUGGGGAGCGAACAGG